rfam:Trichobilharzia regenti genome assembly, scaffold: TRE_scaffold0052953
AGCCCUCUGUAUCCGUGCUGAGAUUUCGUCAGAGAUCAACCCAUCGGCGUCGGCUGAUGGUACUUCCCAAAUAAGUGAAGCG